AAGCGGUGGAGGAUGUGGUUUAAUUCGAUGCAACGCGAAAACCUUCCCACCUUUGACAUGUACGGAACCCUUUAGAGAUAGAGGGGUGCUCGAAAGAGAGCCGUAACACAGGUGCUGCAUGGCUGUCGUCAGCUCGUGUCGUGAGAUGUUGGGUUAAGUCCCCGCAACGAGCGCAACCCUUGUCAUUAGUUGCUACAUUCAGUUGGGCACUCUAAUGAGACUGCCCCGGACAACGGGAGGAAGGUGGGGAUGACGUCAAGUCCGCAUGCUCCUUACGUCUAGGGCUACACACGUCCUACAAUGGGGUCGACAGUGGGAUGCAAAGCCGCGAGGUGGAGCCAAUCCCCAAACGGCCUCUCAGUUCGGAUAGUAGUCUGCAACUCGACUACUUGAAGUCGGAAUCGCUAGUAAUGGCGGAUCAGCAUGCCGCCGUGAAUACGUUCCCGGGUCUU
rnacentral:rRNA from 1 species